rnacentral:rRNA from 1 species
GUGGAUUAGAUACCCUGGUAGUCCACGCCGUAAACGAUGGGCACUAGGUGUAGGAGGUAUUGACCCCUUCUGUGCCGAAGCUAACGCAUUAAGUGCCCCGCCUGGGGAGUACGGCCGCAAGGCUAAAACUCAAAGGAAUUGACGGGGGCCCGCACAAGCGGUGGAGCAUGUGGUUCAAUUCGACGCAACGCGAAGAACCUUACCUGGGUUUGACAUCCGCUGACCGUCCUGGAAACAGGAUUUUCCCCGCAAGGGGACAGCGAGACAGGUGCUGCACGGCCGUCGACAGCU